UCCAGACUCCUACGGGAGGCAGCAGUGGGGGAUAUUGCACAAUGGGGGAAACCCUGAUGCAGCGACGCCGCGUGGGUGAAGAAGCGCCUCGGCGCGUAAAGCCCUGUCAGCAGGGAAGAAAAUGACGGUACCUGAAGAAGAAGCCCCGGCUAACUACGUGCCAGCAGCCGCGGUAAUACGUAGGGGGCAAGCGUUAUCCGGAUUUACUGGGUGUAAAGGGAGCGUAGACGGCAUGGCAAGCCAGAUGUGAAAUACCGGGGCUCAACCCCGGGACUGCAUUUGGAACUGUUAAGCUGGAGUGUCGGAGAGGCAGGCGGAAUUCCUAGUGUAGCGGUGAAAUGCGUAGAUAUUAGGAGGAACACCAGUGGCGAAGGCGGCCUGCUGGACGAUAACUGACGUUGAGGCUCGAAAGCGUGGGGAGCAAACAGGAUUAGAUACCCGAGUA
rnacentral:rRNA from 1 species